rnacentral:rRNA from 1 species
UCUCUCUGAAUCUGCGAACGGCUCCGCAAACCAGUUGUAAACUAUAGCAAGUCCGCCUUGGUGCCGGCCGUAAGGUUGGUGCUGGGGCUACAUGGAUACCCGUGGUAAUUCUGAGGCUAAUACAUGAACGUACCCCCUGAUCAACUGGGUAACCGGGAGGUUGGGGACAGUGCGGUCAGUCGCAGAUUUUGCUGGGAAUAGACGCACUUUCAAACCACCAUACAAGCAGUUGGGGUACCGACCUUCGGGAAGGUGCCCUUUCUGGGUGGGCCUUGCUUUGUGCUUCUGACCUAUCAACUAGAUGGCAGCGUAACGGACAUGCUAUGGUUACAACGGGUACAGAGGAUAAGGGUUCGAUCCUGGAGAGUGGGCCUGAGAGAUU